CCCUACGGGAGGCAGCAGUGAGGAAUAUUGGUCAAUGGGCGGGAGCCUGAACCAGCCAAGUCGCGUGAGGGAAGACGGUCUUAUGGAUUAUAAACCUCUUUUGUCGGGGAGCAAAGAGGCCACGUGUGGUCAAAAGCGAGAGUACCCGAAGAAAAAGCAUCGGCUAACUCCGUGCCAGCAGCCGCGGUAAUACGGAGGAUGCGAGCGUUAUCCGGAUUUAUUGGGUUUAAAGGGUGCGUAGGCGGGACGGUAAGUCAGCGGUAAAAAUGCGGAGCUCAACUCCGUCGAGCCGUUGAAACUGUCGU
rnacentral:rRNA from 1 species